rnacentral:lncRNA from 1 species
AUGUCAGCUGGGAGGCAACCUUACCCCUGGUUGGGAACCACUGGCUUAAAGGGAGAUGUUUUUCCCACCCUCUCAGCCCAGAGAGGCUGCUCCCCAGUCAUCCUGCGGUUCCCCGUCUGGGGAGAUUACAUUGUCCACUCUCAUGCAAUGACGCGUCCCUUCUCAGACGCCACUUCCCGGGGGCUGGAGGAAACGCCCAGCCACCUUUAUCACUGCCAAGGAACAUGGGGGCCCACAAGAGGACACAGGGUGCAGUCUGUUCGGCCCAGGGCGCCGUUGCUUUGGGAAAACUCUCCGGAAGCUCCGUCUGAAACCUCUGCCUCAAAACCACGUCGUCCAGGAGGGCAUUCCGGAGGCUCAUUUUUAACAGGCAGGAGAAAGCAGCACAACGGAAGGCACACUCCGUACCCAAGGCAUUGAACGUACGGAUCAAACAAUAAAAUGUGCUUAUUCUUCCAGUGUAAGGAGAGGAAUCGUGCUUUCAUCCCGAGGUCGGGGACCAUCCCCCUCCCCCUCCAGGGCUGCUGUGCAGGCAGCCCGUUUUCUGGGCUCCUCGGCGGGGCGGGGCGGGGAGCGGAGCGGAGCCACGCCCCCGAGCCACGCCCCCCGCCCCCGAGUCCCUGGCUGGGGGAGGGGAGGCACAGUUGAGCCUCGGAGGAAGGCAGCGCUCUCCUCGCUGACUUGCUUUCUUACUCUCACUAAAUAAUUAGGUCUGGGGUGGAUUUGUUUUUAUUUUGUAAGAAUUAUAGAGGAUGAAGCGUUUCUCUGGAACUACCCUUCCUCACACCCAAGCAGCUGAUGGAUGGAGCUGCAUACACACGGCAAAACGUUAACGGCGGUCAUCUCCACAGGGGGACAUUGACCCUUACCCAAGGGUCGUUUCCGUGAAAUAAAAUGCACCCAUUUGAAAAGAACAGGUUGAUGAGUCCUGGCGAAGGUCUACACCCGGGUAACCACCAGCCCAAUCAAGAUAUCGAUAGAGAACAUUCCCACAGCCCCAGAGAAGUUUCCUGUGCUCCUUUGUACUCCAUCCCAGCCACCCACUUCCGGACCCAGGCAACCCCGGAUCUGCCUUCUGUCACUAUAGAUAGUUUUACCCCUGCUUGAACUUCAUAUAAAUAGACUCAAAAGAUAAAUCCUCCUUCGGAUCUGACCUCUUUGACUCAGCACGGCAAUUUCUGUGAUCCGUCCAUGCGGGUGCACGCACUGCGGUCUGUUCCUAUCUGGGCUGAUAAAUACACUCAUUACGUGGCUCUAACACUUAGGGGUAAAUAUUGUUUUCUUCUUUCCGCCUCUCUUCCCACCCACCAAGGCCAAAUUUCCUACAAUGAACGUCUCUUAAUUUGUUUUACUUCUUUUUUUUUAUUAUUUAUUUACUUUUGUCUUUUUAGGGUCACACCCAUGGCAUAUGGAGGUUCCCAGGCUAAGGGUCCAAUUGCACCUGUAGCUGCCGGCCUACACCCCAGCCACAGCAACGCCAGAUCUGAGCUGCAUCUGCAAUCUGCUCCACAGCUCACGGCAACACCGGUUCCUUAAUCCACUGAACGGGGGCAGGGAUCGAACCUGCAUCCUCAUGGAUACUAGUUGGGUUCAUUGCCGCUGAGGCACAACAAGAGCUCCUUGUUUGAUAUUUUAAGAAGAUAAAUGCCAUUCUUUUUUUUUUUUUUUUUUUUUUUU